AAAAGAGACGACUUAAAAUAAAGUUCAAAUAAUUCCUGGCAAAUUGACAAUUGACAAAUGCUACUAUGUCAUAGCUAUUUGUAAUACUAUAUUAAUUAUCCAGAUUAUACAAUCUCAAAUCCACAUUCAAACAGUCUCAAAUUAUCCUCAUGCAACAAAAUAACAACUAAGAAGGAUCAACACAAUAACAACUAAGCAGUCUGACCCCGAUUAUUAUCAGUUGCCUCAUUUCAAACAUCACAAGGAUCAGCAGCCACUGAAGCAUCAAGAGUGCCAUCAUCUUGUGCCUUGUUGGAGUUUACAAGCUCAGUCGAUAAUUUCUCAAUUAUUGACAGUCUAUCUAAAAUCUCACUCGGGCCACGACAACACUACUAGAAAAAUUCUCUACACCGAGAUGUACAUUAUCCAUCAGCUAUUCAUGGUCUAAAAUAGCCUCGAGGACCUUCAGAAACAACAGGCUCCUUUGCUGCUCUGGUCAAAAGUUGUGGAGGAUCCUCGCCUUGCCUAUUAAUCUUUGUAACAUCUGAAAUGUCCUCCCUAUUUAGUGCUUUGAUUUUCUUAUCCACCUCAUCGUCACCAUAAGCACAAGAUUUCUUAUGUGGUCAUUCUUCAUCUCACCAGCAGUUGGGUAAAGGUAAUGGUGUAUCAUCUACUCUUUCGUUUUUUAUAGUGCCGAGUCUUAUUUACUGGUUAUUGUUUUUAUUUUUCAUCUAUUUUCUGGUUCUUAUGAUGCUGUUAUUAUUUUUAUGGUUUCUGUUGAUGGUACUGAUAUAUUGUCUAUUUUCGUCUUUAUGAGCCGAGAGUCUAUUCGAAACAGUCUCUCUACUCUUUCGGAAUAAGAAUAAGAUCUGUGUACUCACUACCCUCCCCAAAUUCCACUGGCGAAAUCUUACUGGGUCGUGGCGGUCGUUGUUGUUGUAAUGUGCAAGUAGACCUAAAAGGAUUGCCUAGCAGUGGCACGCAAGUGGCUAAGGGCAUAAUAGAGCAGUAAGAGUAGUAUUUAUUCCUCCUCCUCCCCAGUCCCCACCAUCACCAAACUAAGCGACAAACUAUGAGAUUUGCAUUCCACCAGCUCCACAAUUCCAUAUCUUGAACCUUAUCCUAUUUUGUUUUUGACAAAUACCUCUAUUCUUCGGGGGGGGGGGGGGGGGUUAGAAAAGACAGUACCAGAUUUUGCUUUUAGCUCCCACAAUUAGUGGUGCAUGUGUAUUGUUUGUAGAUGGAUACAAAUUUAAGGGAAGUCUACGUACGGAUUCAAU
rnacentral:lncRNA from 1 species